UAACUUUGUUUCAUAUGCAAAUAUCACCGGUGUGACAUCACAUCGCAUAAUGACGUUUUGAAAACGCAAUAUUUUACCUUGAUAAAAUAUUUUUACAAACAAAUACAGAGGGUUAAUUACCAGUUAUGAAAUCAAUACAUAAACAAGGGCAAUUUUUAAGUUUUUAGAUACGUAUUCGUCAAGAAAACUAUACUUUUCUGAAAACUCAUUAUGUGAUGUGAUGUGAUGUGAUGUGAUGUGAUGUGAUGUCACACCGGUGAUAUUUGCAUAUGAAACAAAGUUGAAUAUCUUGAAAGGGGGUGUGGGGGUGUGAAUAGGUUUCCGGAUCGUCGGAUUUCACAGAAAAAAUUGUUCGGAUUUCGGAUCUGGCGAAUAUAUUACACGGAUUUGCGGAUUGCGGAUUUAUCUAAU